UUCAGGUGCGUCGGAACAAGGAUGCAUCCAGAAGCUGCAGGACAGUAGCUCUCGAGGACUGGAGUUGGCACCCCUGUUUUAGAGCAACCUAUACGAUCCAGUCUAUUUCUUUUUAAGCAAAGCUCUUGCACAUUUUAGUAAGACAAUGUUAAACUGCAUUCUGCAUCUAGUACAACAGCACAGCUUCAUAGUAGAAGGGUGUGGGUGCUUAGGUGACUUGCUUGCACUCCAGAUGUUACAUCAAAGAAGACCCAGGAAUGUUGAGCAGUUAGAAUCGUCUAUCAGACAACAAUGGAGCAACAUGACAAAAGUCCAGAAGCUGGUCUCCAUGGUUCCCGGACGUUUAUGGACAGUUGUUUGAAGAAGAGUGAAUGCUACGCCGUGGCAAACAUGACCCUGUUCUAAAGUGUCGCUGUCAUGGAACUCAAAUAAGCUAAAAUCUUUCCCUAACUGAGUCCAAACUUUUUCCAAACUGGACUUGUAGAAGAAGCAGGUUGACCUAAAGAGCGGGAGGAAUGAAGGGGCAUGAAAAGAGGGAUUAAUGUGCAGAGACUGAGAUGGAAAUCAAAACUGAGGAUUAAGCUGAGAAUCGGAAGAAGAUUUUGGGUCUUAAAAAGACAAAGAUUGAUAUAGAAAGAGUCAGUGAGUGAGGAUUAGAUCGUCAGACCCGGCCUCCCUGUUGGAUUCUGCCGAACCCUGUUGGCUGUCUCACACUAUUUGCGUGUGUGUGUGUGUGUGUGUGUGUGUGUGUGUGUAGCUUCGUAGCAGUCAGUACGUCCACAUGCUGAUCUGAGCUGACUGUCGGGCAACAGAUGGACAUCUUAAUCUUCCUCAUCAUCCCCUCCUCCAAUAACACUACCAUUAUAGCAUAAUGGUGUCUGGUCUGGCCACCAGAGACACAAGAUUGAUGCAGUGGGCUUUUCCCCCAGAAUAACAUAAACACUGAAAUCAGCUGAUUUGGUAGCAGACUAGCUUUGAUUUUCUUUGUACCAUAUAUAUUUAUAUCUAUCUGUAGAUGGUUAAUGGUGUUAAGUUCAUGGUUUUUCUUUAUUUUCAUGACUAUUUACUUCAUACAUUCUCUCUGAAGGCAUCAAAACUGUGAAUGAACACAUAUGGAAUUGUGUAGUAAAUAAAAAAGUGUGAAAU